CUGACCUUAGCUCAGUGGUAGAGUGGUGGACUGUAGUUGGACUAAUCUAAAUUGGUAAAUCCUUAGGUCGCUGGUUUGAUUCCGGCAGGUUGGA
rnacentral:tRNA from 1 species